rnacentral:rRNA from 1 species
CCUACGGGGGGCAGCAGUGAGGAAUAUUGGUCAAUGGACGAGAGUCUGAACCAGCCAAGUAGCGUGAAGGAUGACUGCCCUAUGGGUUGUAAACUUCUUUUAUAUGGGAAUAAAACAGGGUAUGCAUACCCUCUUGUAUGUACCAUAUGAAUAAGGAUCGGCUAACUCCGUGCCAGCAGCCGCGGUAAUACGGAGGAUCCGAGCGUUAUCCGGAUUUAUUGGGUUUAAAGGGUGCGUAGGUGGAUUGUUAAGUCAGUUGUGAAAGGUUGCGGCUCAACCGUAAAAUUGCAGUUGAAACUGGCAGUCUUGAGUACAGUAGAGGUGGGCGGAAUGCGUGGUGUAGCGGUGAAAUGCUUAGAUAUCACGAAGAACUCCGAUUGCGAAGGCAGUUCACUGGACUGCAACUGACACUGAGGCUCGAAAGUGUGGGUAUCAAACAGGAUUAGAUACCCGAGUAGUC